AGAACGAACGCUGGCGGCAGGCUUAUCACAUGCAAGUCGAACGGUUGUAGCAAUACAGCAGUGGCAGACGGGUGAGUAACACGUGGGAACCUUCCUAGGGGUACGGAACAACUCAGGGAAACUUGAGCUAAUACCGUAUACGUCCGUGAGGAGAAAGUUUUAACGCCCCUAGACGGGCCCGCGUAGGAUUAGGUAGUUGGUGAGGUAACGGCUCACCAAGCCUACGAUCCUUAGCUGAUCUGAGAGGAUGAUCAGCCACACUGGGACUGAGACACGGGCCCAGACUCCUACGGGAGGCAG
rnacentral:rRNA from 1 species